rnacentral:rRNA from 1 species
UCCUACGGGAGGCAGCAGUGGGGAAUAUUGGACAAUGGGGGCGAAGCCUGAUCCAGCCAUGCCGCGUGAGUGAUGAAGGCCCUAGGGUUGUAAAGCUCUUUCAGACGGAAAGAAACGGUCACGGCCAAUACCCGUGACUAAUGACGGUACCUGAAGAAGAAGCACCGGCUAACUACGUGCCAGCAGCCGCGGUA